GUUUGAUCCUGGCUCAGAUUGAACGCUGGCGGCAGGCCUAACACAUGCAAGUCGAGCGGAUGAAGGGAGCUUGCUCCUGGAUUCAGCGGCGGACGGGUGAGUAAUGCCUAGGAAUCUGCCUGGUAGUGGGGGAUAACGUCCGGAAACGGGCGCUAAUACCGCAUACGUCCUGAGGGAGAAAGUGGGGGAUCUUCGGACCUCACGCUAUCAGAUGAGCCUAGGUCGGAUUAGCUAGUUGGUGGGGUAAAGGCCUACCAAGGCGACGAUCCGUAACUGGUCUGAGAGGAUGAUCAGUCACACUGGAACUGAGACACGGUCCAGACUCCUACGGGAGGCAGCAGUGGGGAAUAUUGGACAAUGGGCGAAAGCCUGACCAGCCAUGCCGCGUGUG
rnacentral:rRNA from 1 species